CCCGUCACACCAUGGAAGUCUGCUGCACCAGAAGCUGGUCGCCUAACCGCAAGGAGGGCGCCGUCCACGGUGUGGCCGAUGACUGGGGUG
rnacentral:rRNA from 1 species